rnacentral:rRNA from 2 species
UACGGGGGGGGCAAGCGUUGUUCGGAAUUACUGGGCGUAAAGGGUGCGUAGGCGGUUCGCUAAGUUGGAUGUGAAAACUCUGGGCUCAACCCAGAGCCUGCAUCCAAUACUGACGAGCUAGAGUUCUGGAGGGGGUAGCGGAAUUCCUGGUGUAGCGGUGAAAUGCGUAGAUAUCAGGAGGAACACCGGUGGCGAAGGCGGCUACCUGGACAGAGUCUGACGCUGAGGCACGAAAGCUAGGGGAGCAAACAGG